rnacentral:rRNA from 1 species
AGGGUUUGGAUCCUGGCUCAGAACGAACGUUGGCGGCGUGGAUUAGGCAUGCAAGUCGAGCGAGAUUCUAAUUUUUCAAUUCUUCGGAAAAGAAGUUUUAGAUGACAGCGGCGAACGGGUGAGUAAUAUAUGGGUAAUUUGCCCCUAAAUUUGGAAUAGCCAUUGGAAACGAUGUGUAAUGCCAAAUGUGAUCGUCUACCACAUGGUAGACUGUUUAAAGGCUGGGAAUCUUCGGAUCCAGUCGUUUAGGGAUAAGCCCAUAUCCUAUCAGCUUGUUGGUGAGGUAAUGGCUCACCAAGGCUUACGGGUAGCCGGCCUGAGAGGGUGAUCGGCCACACUGGGACUGAGACACUGCCCAGACUCCUACGGGAGGCUGCAGUCGAGAAUCAUUGUCAAUGCACGAAAGUGUGAACAUGCGACGCCGCGUGGAGGAAGACGGCCUUCGGGUUGUAAACUCCUGUCAGCAGGGAGGAAAGGUAGCAACAUUAAUAGUGUUGUUAUUUGACAGUACCUGCAGAGGAAGUCACGGCUAACUCUGUGCCAGCAGCCGCGGUAAUACAGAGGUGGCAAACGUUGUUCGGAUUUACUGGGCGUAAAGGGUCCGCAGGCGGCUUGGUAUGUCAGAUGUGAAAGCCCACGGCUUAACCGUGGAAUUGCAUUUGAAACUGCCAGCUUAGAGUAUCGGA